rnacentral:rRNA from 1 species
CCUACGUGUGGCAGCAGUAGGGAAUCUUCCACAAUGGGCGAAAGCCUGAUGGAGCAACGCCGCGUGGGUGAAGAAGGUCUUCGGAUCGUAAAACCCUGUUGUUAGAGAAGAAAGUGCGUGAGAGUAACUGUUCACGUUUCGACGGUAUCUAACCAGAAAGCCACGGCUAACUACGUGCCAGCAGCCGCGGUAAUGCGUAGGUGGCAAGCGUUAUCCGGAUGUAUUGGGCGUAAAGGGAACGGAGGCGGUCUUUUAAGUCCGAUGUGAAAGCCUUCGGCUUAACCGGAGUAGUGCAUUGGAGACUGGGAGACUUGAGUGCAGGAGAGGAGAGUGGAACGCCAUGUGUAGCGGUGAAAUGCGUAGAUAUAUGGAAGAACACCAGUGGCGAAAGCGGCUCUCUGGGCUGUAACUGACGCUGAGGUUCGAAAGCGUGGGUAGCAAACAGGAUUAGAUACCCUGGUAGUC